AUGGUGAAGCACAUGCACCAAAAAUAUGAGGCUGCCACUGCUGAACUGGAAUCCCAAUUAAAUGAUGCCAAGACCCGGCUGGCGACUCAGGAAACUGAGACCCGGAAGGCUGAGUCGAAAUUCCAAUUUAGUGUGGCUGAGUCAGAAAAACUGAAGACCGGCUAUGAAGCAGAGAAAAAGACUUGGGCGGAUGAAAAGACGGCUUUGACCCAACGUGCUGAGAAGGCCGAGGCAACGCUUCAAGAAGUAACCACUGAGCUUUCCGGUUUAAAAAACCGUGUGAAUCAGAUGGUUUCAGCUAUCUUUGGUCCCAGGAGCAGCAAUCUCAAUCAAGACAUGCUGAUGAAACUGAAAGCUGUCUACACACUUGUUGAGAAGCUGUACACCGGGACUCAACGCACAUUAGCCGCUAUUUCACCAACAGGUCAAGUACCAACUUUGUUGAUAGAUGUUUUGAAGAAACUCUCUGUGCUGCCUAUAAGACUUGAAGAGAUAAAGCGAUCAGCUGCCAGAGCCGGCGCUGUGACGGCUUUAAGCUGGUCCAAGGCAUGGGUACCAGAGCUUGACCCGUCUUAG
rnacentral:rRNA from 1 species